AGCGUAGACGGAUGGACAAGUCUGAUGCGAAAGCCCGGGGCUCAACCCCGGGACUGCUUUGGAAACUAUGCAGCUAGAGUGUCGGAGAGGUAAGUGGAAUUCCCAGUGUAGCGGUGAAAUGCGUAGAUAUUGGGAGGAACACCAGUGGCGAAGGCGGCUUACUGGACGAUGACUGACGUUGAGGCUCGAAAGCGUGGGGAGCAAACA
rnacentral:rRNA from 1 species